CAUGUCUUUUUGAAGUUAAUUUAAAGUCUAGUCUGCCCACUGAUAUAUUAUUAAAUGGCCGCAGUAUUUUAACUGUGCAAAGGUAGCAUAAUCAAUAGUUUUUUAAUUGAAGACUUGUAUGAAUGAUUGCACGAAAUAUAAGCUGUCUUAAAGAAAGUAUUUUGAAUUUUAUUAUUUAGUUAAAAAGCUAAACUAAUUUUAAAAGACGAGAAGACCCUAUAGAUCUUUAUAAAAAUAAUAUUUAUUUUUUAAGGUAUGAUUUUUGGAUUAAUAUUAGUUUUUAUUUUAUUGGGGUGAUAUUGAAAUUUAAUUAACUUUCAAGUUUUAAAUACAUUAGUUUAUGGGUAAUUGAUCCUUUAUUAUUGAUUAAAAAUUUAAGUUACCUUAGGGAUAACAGCGUAAUUAUUUUGGAGAGUUCUUAUCGAUAAAAUAGAUUGCGACCUCGAUGUUGGAUUAAGAUUAAUUCUGGGCGUAGCAGUUUAGAGUAUUAAGUCUGUUCGACUUUUAAUUUCU
rnacentral:rRNA from 1 species